rnacentral:rRNA from 1 species
GUAUCUAUUAAUGGGGGAUAACUAGCCGAAAGGUUAGCUAAUACCGCAUACGCCCUGAGGGGGAAAGCUGGGGAUCUUCGGACCUGGCGUUAAUAGGGCGGCCGAUACCUGAUUAGCUAGUUGGUGGGGUAAAGGCCUACCAAGGCGACGAUCAGUAGCUGGUCUGAGAGGACGACCAGCCACACUGGGACUGAGACACGGCCCAGACUCCUACGGGAGGCAGCAGUGGGGAAUUUUGGACAAUGGGGGCAACCCUGAUCCAGCCAUUCCGCGUGAGUGAAGAAGGCCUUCGGGUUGUAAAGCUCUUUCGCAAGGGAAGAAACGAUAUAAGUGAAUAGCUUAUGUUAAUGACGGUA